UUGAAAUAAUGACGCUAAUCGAUAACGUUCGAGUUGUGAACCUUAUAUCUGCUCUUUUAAAAUAACUCGAUAGACGAAUUGAUGAUAAAUAAAGCAUUCUUUUCUUAAAAGAAAAAUGGAAUAGCUAGGAAUUUAAUUUCGUUUCGAAUAUUUCUUGAGUUUAUAUGUUAACACAUUUAAAGUUUGUCAACAUAUAUAAAAAUAUUUAAAAAAUUUAAGAUAAAAAAGAUCUUACAUAGACAUAUCUGUCUGUUUAAAGAAAUAGACGUGCUACAAAUUUGUCCAUUUGCGUUCAGCAAUAAAAUGAGUUUAACGUGGCUACUUUAUAUUGUCACUUGAAUAGCAAUGUAGGACAUUAUUUAAUACGAUUGUCGGAGUUAAUGUGAUCGAGGCACGAAACGAUACAUAAAGUCUUCGUUUGAUUGGGACACAAAUAAUCGGACCUUUGAUACUCCUACAUGCUUUGCAUCACAAAAAUAACGGAGAUUAUAUAUAAUGCAUUAUCAAUUAAUGAGAAUUGCUUUUGCAAAACGCUCCAUUGUUAUUAUAAAAGAAAAGCUUAGUAUAAGACUUAACCGAAAGCAACAAAGAUUUUUCAACAUAU